GAUGAACGCUGGCGGCGUGCCUAAUACAUGCAAGUCGAGCGAAUGGAUUAAGAGCUUGCUCUUAUGAAGUUAGCGGCGGACGGGUGAGUAACACGUGGGUAACCUGCCCAUAAGACUGGGAUAACUCCGGGAAACCGGGGCUAAUACCGGAUAACAUUUUGAACCGCAUGGUUCGAAAUUGAAAGGCGGCUUCGGCUGUCACUUAUGGAUGGACCCGCGUCGCAUUAGCUAGUUGGCGAGGUAACGGCUCACCAAGGCAACGAUGCGUAGCCGACCUGAGAGGGUGAUCGGCCACACUGGGACUGAGACACGGCCCAGACUCCUACGGGAGGCAGCAGUAGGGAAUCUUCCGCAAUGAACGAAAGUCUGACGGAGCAACGCCGCGUGAGUGAUGAAGGCUUUCGGGUCGUAAAACUCUGUUGUUAGGGAAGAACAAGUGCUAGUUGAAUAAGCUGGCACCUUGACGGUGCCUAACCAGAAAGCCACGGCUAACUACGUGCCAGCCGCCGCAGUAA
rnacentral:rRNA from 1 species